UCUCGUGUCAUGGCGCCGUCACCUGAAGAUCAUCGUGUUUAUCGCCAGACUUUCAAUACCUUCUCGGAGUGGAGCACUUUUAUGGCAGUUAGAGCUCUUAUCCCAUAAUCAUAUCCCAGAAGUUUCAUAUCAUUUUACGUUGAAUACUGCAUCGUCUUUCGAUGGCCAGCGGUUUUGGGCUGUAUUAACUUGCCGGCCGUUGAGGUUAGGGAAAGCAUUUCGCCCUUGGAAACCUGCAUCCAUUUGAGCCUGCUGUAAUGUUGCACAAGCUCGGAGUCUCCAUGCUGCUGUGAGGCCGGCUGCUCCAUGGCGGCCUAAGCGCGGCCCAGGCGGCCCUCGGGGGCCCCCCCACAGAGCGGCCCGGCCCGGGCCCUACGGGGCCGGCCCAUGCCUCCGGGCCCUACGGGGCCGCCUCCCGCGGCAGCCCGCGGCCUCACAGCGCCCCCCACGGACCGCCUCCCGGGGCCGGCCGGCCCCCGGGCCGCCCCCGCCGCCGCUCCAUCCGCGGGCACCGCUUCGCACCUGCAACAGACAGACAAAAACAAGUCUGCUUGCAGAGUGCCGCAGCCUCUGCGCCCGGUCCCGCCGAGUCCGCUCGGCAAGAGCCCACUCGCCUCACACGAGUCCGAGGACAAGGAGCGAGUGAGUCUUCCCGACCGACCAAACUUUGGACGUGUCGUCGUGCAGGCCGCGGGGUAGGGGGGCUACUGGCGAGGGGCGUAACUUGAGCCAUAUUCUGGCAGGACAGCGCGCCGCGCCGCGCGGCGCCGCCCGGCUCCGCUAUGAUGAUGUAUGGCUGGAGCCCGCCUGGAGAGGAGAGAACUCCGCCCGCCUGCGGCGCUCCUUCGGCGCCCCUGUGGCCGGCUCGAGCCGACCUGACAGCGCCGCAGCACCGGGCCGAGCCCGCACCGCCGCACGGAGGGCACCCGUCGAGGUGAGAACUACCUACGGCUCCUUCUUUCCUGUUCUAAAAACAAAUCCCUAUGUGAAUUGAAAAAUCUAGAAUAAUAGAUGUAGUUACAUUCUGCAGU